UACGUAGGGUGCGAGCGUUGUCCGGAAUUAUUGGGCGUAAAGAGCUUGUAGGCGGUUUGUCGCGUCUGCCGUGAAAGUCCGGGGCUCAACUCCGGAUCUGCGGUGGGUACGGGCAGACUAGAGUGAUGUAGGGGAGACUGGAAUUCCUGGUGUAGCGGUGAAAUGCGCAGAUAUCUGGAGGAACACCGGUGGCGAAGGCGGCAUCCUGGACCGGUAUUGACGCUGAGGCGCGAAAGCCAGGGGAGCAAACGGG
rnacentral:rRNA from 1 species